rnacentral:rRNA from 1 species
UGGGGCUGGAGCAGGUCCCAAGGGUUCGGCUGUUCGCCGAUUAAAGUGGUACGUGAGCUGGGUUUAGAACGUCGUGAGACAGUUCGGUCCCUAUCUUCCGUGGGUGUAGGAGAUUUGCGAGGAGCUGCCCCUAGUACGAGAGGACCGGGGUGGACGAACCUCUGGUGGACCAGUUGUCGCGCCAGCGGCAUUGCUGGGUAGCUAUGUACGGACGGGAUAACCGCUGAAAGCAUCUAAGCGGGAAGCCUCCCUCAAAACAAGGUCUCCCUUGAGAGCCGUGGAAGACCACCACGUUGAUAGGCUGGGUGUGGAAGCGUGGCAACACGUGAAGCUUACCAGUACUAAUUGCUCGAUAGGCUUUAGAUUGCGCU